rnacentral:rRNA from 1 species
UGGGGAAUAUUGCACAAUGGGCGCAAGCCUGAUGCAGCCAUGCCGCGUGUGUGAAGAAGGCCUUCGGGUUGUAAAGCACUUUCAGCGAGGAGGAAGGUGGUGAACUUAAUACGUUCAUCAAUUGACGUUACUCGCAGAAGAAGCACCGGCUAACUCCGUGCCAGCAGCCGCGGUAAUACGGAGGGUGCAAGCGUUAAUCGGAAUUACUGGGCGUAAAGCGCACGCAGGCGGUUUGUUAAGUCAGAUGUGAAAUCCCCGGGCUCAACCUGGGAACUGCAUUUGAAACUGGCAAGCUAGAGUCUCGUAGAGGGGGGUGAGAAUUCCAGGUGUAGCGGUGAAAUGCGUAGAGAUCUGGAGGAAUACCGGUGGCGAAGGCGGCCCCCUGGACGAAGACUGACGCUCAGGUGCGAAAGCGUGGGGCAGCAAACAGGAUUAGAUACCCUGGUAGUCCACGCUGUAAACGAUGUCGAUUUUGGAGGUUGUGCCCUUGAGGCGUGGCUUCCGGAGCUAACGCGUUAAAUCGACCGCCUGGGGAGUACGGCCGCAAGGUUAAAACUCAAAGGAAUUGACGGGGUC